ACAAGUACCGUGAGGGAAAGUUGCAAAGCACUUUGAAGAGAGAGUUAAAGAGGACGUGAAACCGGUAAGGUGGAAACGGAUAGAGUCGGCGUAUCAUUCAAUUAUUCAGUUACAUUAUUUUUAUGUUGUGACCUCUGAGCUCCAGAUUGGGACAGAGGGAAUCAGCAUAAUUUUUUGUGGUGCAUUUACUUGAUUGGUGCUUGGGGAUGUUUGAGGCAGAUUUGUUUCCGUCGUUUUGAGGCCAGCUUGCUGGUACCCAAACGGUGUUAGCAUUGUUUGUCUUGGGCAUUUGAGUAUGGCUCACGUGUAUUUAUUGGACAGAUCUGAGUGUAAGUUACGGUCGCAUGCGACACGUGCUUUUCAAUUAGUUCGGUCCAGUUAAUGCUCUCGUACUCGUUCCCCAUGUAAAAGCCGGUCAUCUAUCCGACCCGUCUUGAAACACGGACCAAGGAGUUUAUCGUGUGCGCAAGUUUUUGGGUGUUAAAAACUUAAAAGCGAAAUGAAAGUAAAUGACUCUUUAGAGUCUGAUGUGCGAUCUUGUAAAAAAGUGUAGCAUGGCCCCAUUCUAACUGUUUACAGUAGGGUGGCGGAAGAGCGUACGCGGUGAGACCCGAAAGAUGGUGAACUAUUCCUGAGCAGGACGAAGCCAGAGGAAACUCUGGUGGAAGUCCGAAGCGGUUCUGACGUGCAAAUCGAUCGUCUGACUUGGGUAUAGGGGCGAAAGACUAAUCGAACCAUCUAGUAGCUGGUUCCUUCCGA
rnacentral:rRNA from 1 species